CCGCCAGCUGCAGGGAAUAGACGAGAGCGGGGUCGGAAAGGACGCGCACAAGUCGAACCCGUGGGCCUUCUGCCUCUGUCACUGCGCCUCUCGCCACAGCCACCUUCUGGAAAGUGCGCCUGCAGCUUCACUUCCGGGUCACCUCUCCCCCGGAACUAGAUUGCCUUCCUGCAGCCCUUCGUGGAGCUUUGGUGUGUGCGUUUCCGCUAAGGAUCACCAGAGGGCAGCAGAGGGCGCCGGUCAGACAAGCCUGAGGCCGAAGGCGCGUCCCCCGGAAGCCCUGAGGUCUCUGCGGGCUCCCCUCACAGGUGCGGUGUCGGCUGCGGCGACGCCGGCCGCGCAUCCGAGGGCGUUUGGGGAGUCUCUGCGAGGCAUUCUCUUGUCGCCUCAGUGAGAGUCGCUCAGUCGUGCUGACUGUUUGCGACAGUCCAUGGGAUUCUCCAGGUCAGAAUACUGGAGUGGGGAGCCAUUCCCUUCUCCAGGGGAUCUUCCUGACUCACGGAUCGAACCGGGGUCUCCCUCAUUGCAGGUGGGUUCUUUACCGAAGGAGCCGCCAGGGAAGCCCAAGAAUACCGGAGUGUGUAGCCAUUCCCUUCUCCAGGGGAUCUUCCUGACCCAGGGAUCGAACUGAGGUCUCCUGCACUGCAGGCGGAUAUUCUUUACCAGCUGAGGGAAGAGGGAAGCCCCCUCACGGUUGUGCCAGAUUGUGGCCGCCGGUACCGAACAUCAUCUGGACUGUCAUGCAGACUCCACCGUCCUUGCUGGCUGGGCCAGAGCAGCUGGAGAGCUGUGUUUGCGUGAGCCAGGCCUUACUUGACAUGGUGAGGAAAACACGCUGGAAUAUAAUGAUCAGGUGUGGUCAGAAAAUCUUCCUAAAGCAAUGUUUUAUCAGUUCUACCCGGAACAAAAUUCUUGCCCCAACUGGAAGCUCACCGAGAACAAGCACUUCGAAUCCUUUAUCAACUAAGCAUGACUACUCUUCAAAAGAAAAAGAAAUCCUCUAUCUGAGAAACAAAGCCAAAACCUUACCCUGGAUGAACCUAGCUCUCUGCUGUUCACGCCUGCACCAGCGCAGCUAGUUGGGCCCUGAUGAAAGUCACAUCUGAGAAGACUGGUAAUCAAUGGACUCGAUCCUAAACCCUGGAUUUAUCUGAGCAGUUCGCUCUCUUGUCUCACAAAGCCAUCCCACCUCCUCCCGCCACUGGAGGUUUCCUUGCUGCCCAGGACUGAGGUCCCUCAGUGCCUCUUCCCCUCUCUCAGGUGAGGAGUCCCUGUAGGUGACAACCCAGCGGACUGGAGCCUGCUGCUAGCAGGAGCACAUGACUCACAGGGCCAGGGCGCAGGAUGGGAACCAGCUGUGUCUGCCCAUCUGGGAUGAGUGAGUGAUGAGAAAAAUAGGGAAAGGCAAUAAUCUGACUUUCCAUGUUUCAAGAAUUGGAAAUAAAGAUUCUGCUUGCUCUGUG
ensembl:lncRNA